GAAUUUCGAUUAACGCUUGGCCUUUGGCCGAGCCAACUGGAAG
rfam:Klebsiella sp. RIT-PI-d NODE_1_length_2264346_cov_38.3847_ID_1, whole genome shotgun sequence.